rnacentral:rRNA from 1 species
UCGUGCGAGAAAGUAUCUUCGGAUAUGAGUAGAGCGGCGGACGGGUGAGUAACGCGUAGGAAUCUACCUAGUAGAAGGGGAUAGCCCGAGGAAACUCGGAUUAAUACCGUAUACCUCCUUAGGGAGAAAGAGGGCCUCUCUUGAUGCUCUCGCUAUUAGAUGAGCCUGCGUAAGAUUAGCUUGUUGGUGAGGUAAUGGCUCACCAAGGCUACGAUCUUUAGCUGGUCUGAGAGGACGAUCAGCCACAUUGGGACUGAGACACGGCCCAGACUCCUACGGGAGGCAGCAGUGGGGAAUAUUGGACAAUGGGCGCAAGCCUGAUCCAGCCAUACCGCGUGUGUGAAGAAGGCCUUCGGGUUGUAAAGCACUUUAAGCAGGGAGAAAAAGUUAUAAGUUAAUACCUUAUAACCGUGAUGUUACCUGCAGAAUAAGCACCGGCUAAU